ACUGUUUAAAGUGGUCAACAUAAUACAUGGAGUUACAUCCAGAAAAAAAUGCUUGCCAGAUGUUCAUGAGAGAUGUGACUUUGUCUUUCCUUAUUUUUAAGCCUGUCCAGUUCGUGUGAAGAAGAGAAUAUGAAAAGAGGAGGACAAAAAGAGAGUUCUGAGUGGGACCGUGGAGCCCAGGAGGAAGAGGAUGCGACAAAGAGGAAGUCGAGCAAAAUGAAAACCAUGAAUCAGCUAGAGUCAAGUCCUGCAUGCAGGAUAUACCUGACCCUAAUCACACAAAUGUGCCUGUUGACAAGGGGCUGGAAAUGCUGGAAAGUGUCUGCAUCAUGUGCCUGAGCCACCUGGGAACUGCUUGGGAGGUGCUACAUUUCUUCUGCAAGGAGUGGGAAGUAGCCCUUCAAAUGAGGAAGGUCUCUGAUGGAUCAGCUUUGGCACCUGGAACAACUUUUCUAGAAGGAACUUGCUAUGCGAGCUAGCUGCAAACACUCGGGAAAAUCUUUUCACAAGCAGGUUAUGAGAGAGAGCACAAGCAGGGGGAACGGCAGGCAGAGGGAGAAGAAGAAGCCGGCUCCUCGCUAAACAGGGAGCCCGACACGGGGCUCGAUCCCAGGACCCCAGGAUCAUGACCUGAGCCAAAGGCAGACGCUCAUCUCUUUGUUAUUUUUAAUGCACAUAUGUUUAUUAUAUGUAUUUUAUAAAUUAAAAUCUUACUGCAUAUAUAAGAGCAUUUCCUGCAGCAUUCAAAAUUCUUUUAAAAAAACAGUUUUUCAUGCAUAGUAUUAUGUUCUGUGGACUCAUUCUAAUUUGUUUAAGCAUUCUUUAUUAUUGCAAUGUCACUUGUUUCUGAUUUUUUGUCAUUAAAAACAAUGUGUUGGUGAACAUCCUGGCUGCUAGAGGAGAUAAUUUGUAUGUAUUUGAUGUAUGCAUUUGUAUUUGAUGCACAGCACAUGGUAUGUGCUUAAUAAAUAGUAUCUGGUAUGAAUAUUUGUCUAAACCCCCAAUAACUUCCUUAGAAUAAACUGUUUAAUCAGUUUUAACAUUUAGUUCUGAUGCACACUGUCAAAUUGCUUUCCAGAAAGAUGUCCCAGGUGCUCUUACUAAUGAUGGUGCUAUAGGUACCCAUCUCACAGGCUCCACAUUGUUUUCUUUAAAACGAAGCAUUGUUAAUUUGACAGGUGAAAAACAGCAGUUCAUUGUUAUGUUCUUUAUUACCACUGAGGCUAAAAAUUCUCGCAUAAUUAUCAAUCAUCGGUAACACGAUGUGGGGAGCAUUUGAGUCAGGGCCUGGCAGAAUAAAUCGUUUCAAAUGAAUGAAUUAUCAAAGGUGGGCCAUGCUGUGGGUAUGAGUAGAAUUACCUGGGCUGCAUGUGAAGGCCUGCAGUUGUUGAACUGUUGCUUAUAUAAACAGGGAUUUAUUCUGAGUCUUUCCUUGCUCAAUUGAAAGUACUUUAAUGGACAGGAUUCUGUGGUAGAAGGGAGGUUUGGAAGUGUCUAUCAGGGUGAUUGUACCGAGAAGCAGGUGCUGGGCUUUGGAGCUGACCAACCAACCAGUGAGAAACCGAUCAGGAAAAGGAGCCACUGGUAAGCAACCAGGGGGCUGGGGCUGCGAGUGGUGCCCAUACUCCUCUGGUCUCCCUGCUCACAGCCCAAGCACACGCUUAUGACAAUGGGGUGUAUUUGGGCUCUGCAGACAAUUCUGCUCUCGGGGAGAAGGCAGGGAUGUGGGCUGGAGCUUUCCCAUCUGACUGCAUCAUGGUUUGAUUCAGCCACUGGACAGGGUGAACGGGGUUUUAACCCUUGCCAACCUCCCAUGUUUCCUUCCUCCCGGUUGGGCUGAGACCCCCUCCUCCUUCCUUCCCUCUGUGUCCUUCAC